AGUAGCGGCGAGUGAGCGGCAAGAGCUCAGAUUUGAAAUCGCCUCGGCGAGUUGUAAAUUGCAGGUUGGAGUCUUUGUGGCGGCGUGUGUCUAAGUCCCUUGGAACAGGGCGCCAUUGAGGGUGAGAGCCCCGUGCGGCACGCGUCYAAGCUUUAAGACCCUUCUGACGAGUCGAGUUGUUUGGGAAUGCAGCUCUAAGUGGGUGGUAAAUUCCAUCUAAGGCUAAAUACUGGCGAGAGACCGAUAGCGA
rnacentral:rRNA from 1 species